GAUCCUGGCUCAGAACGAACGUUGGCGGCAUGGAUUAGGCAUGCAAGUCGGGGGAAUCCCAGCAAUGGGGGAACCGGCGUAAGGGGCAGUAAGGCAUGGGUACCUACCCCGGGGUUCGGGAUAGCCACCAGAGAUGGUGGGUAAUACCGGAUGACCUCGUGAGAGCAAAGAUUUAUCGCCCUGGGAGGGGCCCAUGUGAUAUUAGCUAGUUGGCGGGGUAAUGGCCCACCAAGGCUAAGAUGUCUAGCGGGUGUGAGAGCACGACCCGCGCCACUCGCACUGAGACACUGGCGAGACACCUACGGGUGGCUGCAGUCGAGGAUCUUCGGCAAUGGGCGAAAGCCUGACCGAGCGAUGCCGCGUGCGCGACGAAGGCCUUCGGGUUGUAAAGCGCGAAAGUGGGGAGAAAAGCGAAAGUUUGAUCUAUCCACAGUAAGCUCGGGCUAAGUUCGUGCCAGCAGCCGCGGUAAGACGAACCGAGCGAACGUUGUUCGGAAUCACUGGGCUUAAAGGGCGCGUAGGCGGGCUGUCAAGUCUGGGGUGAAAUCCCGCGGCUCAACCGUGGAACUGCCUCAGAUACUGACGGUCUCGAGGGAGGUAGGGGCGAGCGGAACGAAUGGUGGAGCGGUGAAAUGCGUUGAUAUCAUUCGGAACUCCGGUGGCGAAGGCGGCUCGCUGGACCUCUUCUGACGCUGAGGCGCGAAAGCCAGGGGAGCAAACGGGAUUAGAUACCCCGGUAGUCCUGGCCCUAAACGUUGGGUACUAGAUAGUAGACUAGACAUGGGUUUACUGUCGAAGCAAAAGUGCUAAGUACCCCGCCUGGGGAGUAUGGUCGCAAGGCUGAAACUCAAAGGAAUGA
rnacentral:rRNA from 1 species